CCCCAAUUAAAUUGUUUAAAACUUGAAUUCUAAUAUUUAAAGUGAUCAAUCCAUCAAUCGAAAUGCAAAAAGCUCUUGGACCAAUCUUUGUGAGAAUAUGAGAUUUUGUUUUGUUUUUCUUUUCUCUUAUAGCUUCCGAAAGUUGUGUGUUCUCCUUGGAAUUCAAUAAUUUCCCUAAAAUGUGUAUUUAUGAAGACAAAUUAAGACACUUUGGAUUUGGCGUGUAACCAUAUUACCUAACACUUAUUUGAUUACAUAGACAGAGAGAUACAUGUAUAGAGUUUGAGAGAAUCAACAAGCAAUCAAGUUAAACAUUUGAUAAACAAACGAAUCAAGAGGGAAACAAAUGAUGAAGAAGAGGAUAAAAUCAAGAGAAUCCAAUCAAAACAAAUAUCUCUGGAUAGUGAUAAGAGUGAUGUAUAUUUGAUAUACAGAAAUGUCUUAAGUUACAAUUGGUAAACAACUUACAAUUUAAAGUAAAUUCAAUGGAUUCAAAUAUUUGAUUGAAAUUGAUACAAUAUCAACAGUUGUUGAAAUAACAACAACAACAACAACAACAACAAAAGCUUUGUUACCAAUGGAAAGGAAAUUAAGUUUCAAUAUUCAAACAAAUUUACUCUUUAACAUUUCAAUUCAAUUGUGGAUCAGCUGUUGAUGGUAUAACGAUUUUGAUACAUUUCUCCUGUUGAAGAAAAAUAAUCCUGACGAAAAAAAAAGGAUUCAGAUUGAAAAUUAUAUCCAAUUGAUCAAGGAAAAUCAAGUCAACAAGUGAACAGAUUUUGAUACAAGUUAAUUGUGUUAAACUGUAACGGAUUUCUCACCAAAAUUACCCACACACAUACACACUUACAUUGAGACAUGAAGAAAUGGAGGAGAAAACAAAAAAACUCUUACCUAUUAAGUGCAAUUCACCAUGAUACCAGUUUAAUGAUAUCAGAAAACGAUUUCAAUUGAAUCGUAAUGAUAUUUGUUUCACUUAAGUGUUUAUCUUCACCCCACCACAAACUGUUCACUUGCUGUUUUAUUGGGGCUUUUGGUUUUGUUUUUACUCAUUUUCUACCACAAUACCUUGUUAUUGUUCAAUUACAAUCAAAUAAUGUCUAUUGAUCCUGCUAUCAUCGCAUCAUCAACAUCAUCAAGUUAAACAGCAAGAAAAGUACAACAGUGGUCACAAAAUAUGAAAAUGACCUCAAUAAGUGAUUAGAAUUGUUGUUGUUAUUCUUGUUGUUAAAAUCGAAAGGUUUUACAAGAUGGAGAGAGAGAGAGAGAAAAGUAAACGAACAAAGUAAAACAAGAAAAGAAGGUAACCAGUACCGGGUAGAAUUAUAAGUUCUUCAAAAGAAUUGGCACAAACCGUAAAGUUUCUUUCUUUUCUUCUGUCUCUUUUUUCAUCUUUUUUCUUAUACUUUUCACCUUAAUUUUCUUUUUUUUUCUUGUUAACUUAUCUUUAUUUUCUUUCUUCAGGUUUCAUCUCCCCUGCGCUCUCUCUCUCUCUUUCUAUCUCUCUCUUUUGCCGUCUUCCUCCAUUUCACUUUCAUCCGGGUCACUGAAGUUGUCUUUAUUAUUUACGAACUUGAUCAGCAAAAGUUUUACGAAUCAAUUUGGGCUCAAGCAAAGUAACAAGAAAACAAGUAAAAGGAUCAACAAGGAAAAGUUUUCUACACCUUUCGCUUCUAAUAACUUCAUCUUUUUCUCUCUAAUUUUCUUCCUAAAAUAUUGGUGUGUCGAAUAAUGAAAAAGUAACUCUCUCUCUCUCUCUCUCUCUCUCUCUGGACCAAAUAGGAAAGGUGAUAAUAUGCUCUUUCACUAUGCAUUUGCAGGGAGAGAAAAAGAGAGCAAAGAUAUGAGUGGAAGGAAAAUUCUAUACCAGAAAUGUAAAGAAAAGAGGGAGGAGGAGGAGAGAGAGAGAUGAAUAAGAUUAAGGCCAAUUUUAAACCAAUUGAAAAGAAAGAGAAGAGCCCGUGCUCCCGCCGUUUCCUCCAUAUCAUCAUUCACUCUCCCUCUCUUUUCAUCCUCUUUCUUUCCACCACCUCUGACAUUCACAUUUAAGCCUCGUGGCCUACCGAUAGUCAACGUCUGUAACGUGCUUCUUGUUUAUUGUGACCUCAUGCGGAGGGGAAAAAGAGGAGAGUCAAUGGAAAACAUCUCGGGAAGGAAAAAGGAGAGAGUUCAACAUAAUUUUGGGGGGAAAAAGAUAAUGGACUGAGGGAGAAUGAAGAGGGAAAAGGCCAAACAUGUGAUCAAAAACAAGAAAGAAAGAGAGAGAGAGUAAAACAAUUUCCCUCAAGAUGUCAAAGUGUGACCUUUUUCUCUGCGUAUGACCUGUCGCUUGUUAUGAUGGCAUUUGAAUGGUGAUGUUAAGCAUCUUUAUGAUGAUAAAAUGAUCUCGAGAUGAUAUCGACCUUUCAAGACUUUAAAUUAUUGGAAAACUAAUACCAAACAAUUAAAUCCGCAGGAAAAACACAGUUUUGUUGAUUGUUUCCAUUUAGAGGUCAAGGUUUACAUGGAUCAAGACACAGACACAAUUACUGAGGAUACGAGAGAUUAUCACAAAUAGAAAGUAAUUCAUCUUUAUCUUCAUCUUCUCAUUGUUAAUUUAGAUUAAGGACAAACCAACGUUCACAUUGAGUUAAAUGGAUAAUCAAAGAGCAGAAAAUGUUAUCAACUAGACUCAUUUGUUUUACUUUUUUCUCAUCAUCAUUUUUUCAUUUUGAUCUAAAUUCUAUUUGAUCAGAAAAAUUAUAUUUCCUUCCUUCCAGAGCACGUCGACUGUUAAGUGCUAUUACGUGGAUGGAAUCAUUCAUAAUCAUGAUUAACCACCAAACACCAUCGAGAGAGAAAAUGAUUAACUACAAGCCAAUACUGAACAAUAUUCCAAAUACAAGUAUGAACAACAAUCUGAAGCUUAAUCACAAUUAACAUAAUCUAUUGGUUUCAAUGAUUAUUAGGUUACAUCGUAUGAACAAUUUAACAAUUGAUUACAAAGAUUCAUUGGAUUUUACAGUUAUACUAUUUACCGUUAUUGUUUUGUGUGUUUCUGCUUUUAUAACUUCAAUGACAAUUAAUCAAUCACUUGUUAUUAUUUUCUCUUUACCAUUAAUUAAAUGAUUAAUAUUAUCAUUUACUUGUUAGAAAUAGUGACGAGAUAUAUUUCAAAAUAGUAAUUUGAAAUAAUCAAUUAUCUCCCAUGAAAAUAAGUUGAAUUCAUUGAUAUUAUAAAUCAACAAUAAAUGAACUAAAUUGAUUACGAAUUAAAUUGUAGUUUUUACUUUCGAAAGGUAAAUUGUUAAAUCAAUACACAUUUUGAAUGUUAAUAAUUUUUCAUUGGGUUAACAAUAAUUAACAUUCAAUGAUUAGUUUUAAUAACCUGAAGCUUUUUUGAUUCACUUGAUUAACUGAUUUGUUGAUUAGUUGUAAUCAUUGUAAUCAAAUGAUACGUUAACCUUUUUUUUUGUUGUCAAAUGUAAAUCCCAACGAUUAAAGUGUAAAUUGUUAUCAUUUUAAUUGUUACAAUUAAGCAAAAACCAGGAAAACAAAAUGAAUCAUCAUCAUUAUUAAAUCACAAUUAAAAAGGACUAAAUUGAUUGGAUGCAAAAAAAUGAUCAAUGGAAAGGAAAAGUAAUUAAAGAAAAAGGGAAAACC